GGGUUGUGAGGUUAAGCGACUAAGCGUACACGGUGGAUGCCCUGGCAGUCAGAGGCGAUGAAGGACGUGCUAAUCUGCGAAAAGCGUCGGUAAGGUGAUAUGAACCGUUACAGCCGGCGAUGUCCGAAUGGGGAAACCCAGUGUGAUUCGUCACACUAUCGUUAACUGAAUACAUAGGUUAACGAGGCGAACCGGGGGAACUGAAACAUCUAAGUACCCCGAGGAAAAGAAAUCAACCGAGAUUCCCCCAGUAGCGGCGAGCGAACGGGGAGCAGCCCAGAGUCUGAAUCAGCUUGUGUGUUAGUGGAACGGUCUGGAAAGUCCGACGGUACAGGGUGAUAGUCCCGUACACCAAAAUGCACAGGCUGUGAACUCGAAGAGUAGGGCGGGACACGUGGUAUCCUGUCUGAAUAUGGGGGGACCAUCCUCCAAGGCUAAAUACUCCUGACUGACCGAUAGUGAACCAGUACCGUGAGGGAAAGGCGAAAAGAACCCCGGCGAGGGGAGUGAAAAAGAACCUGAAACCGUGUACGUACAAGCAGUGGGAGCACCUUCGGGUGUGACUGCGUACCUUUUGUAUAAUGGGUCAGCGACUUAUAUUCUGUAGCAAGGUUAACCGUAUAGGGGAGCCGCAGGGAAACCGAGUCUUAACUGGGCGUUAAGUUGCAGGGUAUAGACCCGAAACCCGGUGAUCUAGCCAUGGGCAGGUUGAAGGUUGGGUAACACUAACUGGAGGACCGAACCGACUAAUGUUGAAAAAUUAGCGGAUGACUUGUGGCUGGGGGUGAAAGGCCAAUCAAACCGGGAGAUAGCUGGUUCUCCCCGAAAGCUAUUUAGGUAGCGCCUCGUGAAUUCAUCUUCGGGGGUAGAGCACUGUUUCGGCUAGGGGGUCAUCCCGACUUACCAACCCGAUGCAAACUACGAAUACCGAAGAAUGUUAUCACGGGAGACACACGGCGGGUGCUAACGUCCGUCGUGAAGAGGGAAACAACCCAGACCGCCAGCUAAGGUCCCAAAGUCAUGGUUAAGUGGGAAACGAUGUGGGAAGGCACAGACAGCCAGGAUGUUGGCUUAGAAGCAGCCAUCAUUUAAAGAAAGCGUAAUAGCUCACUGGUCGAGUCGGCCUGCGCGGAAGAUGUAACGGGGCUAAACCAUGCACCGAAGCUGCGGCAGCGACACUAUGUGUUGUUGGGUAGGGGAGCGUUCUGUAAGCCUGCGAAGGUGACCUGUGAGGGUUGCUGGAGGUAUCAGAAGUGCGAAUGCUGACAUAAGUAACGAUAAAGCGGGUGAAAAGCCCGCUCGCCGGAAGACCAAGGGUUCCUGUCCAACGUUAAUCGGGGCAGGGUGAGUCGACCCCUAAGGCGAGGCCGAAAGGCGUAGUCGAUGGGAAACAGGUUAAUAUUCCUGUACUUGGUGUUACUGCGAAGGGGGGACGGAGAAGGCUAUGUUAGCCGGGCGACGGUUGUCCCGGUUUAAGCAUGUAGGCUGAUUAUCCAGGCAAAUCCGGAUAAUCAAGGCUGAGGUGUGAUGACGAGGCACUACGGUGCUGAAGUAACAAAUGCCCUGCUUCCAGGAAAAGCCUCUAAGCAUCAGGUAACAUCAAAUCGUACCCCAAACCGACACAGGUGGUCAGGUAGAGAAUACCAAGGCGCUUGAGAGAACUCGGGUGAAGGAACUAGGCAAAAUGGUGCCGUAACUUCGGGAGAAGGCACGCUGGUGUGUAGGUGAAGUCCCUGCGGAUGGAGCUGAGACCAGUCGAAGAUACCAGCUGGCUGCAACUGUUUAUUAAAAACACAGCACUGUGCAAACACGAAAGUGGACGUAUACGGUGUGACGCCUGCCCGGUGCCGGAAGGUUAAUUGAUGGGGUUAUCCGUAAGGAGAAGCUCUUGAUCGAAGCCCCGGUAAACGGCGGCCGUAACUAUAACGGUCCUAAGGUAGCGAAAUUCCUUGUCGGGUAAGUUCCGACCUGCACGAAUGGCGUAAUGAUGGCCAGGCUGUCUCCACCCGAGACUCAGUGAAAUUGAACUCGCUGUGAAGAUGCAGUGUACCCGCGGCAAGACGGAAAGACCCCGUGAACCUUUACUAUAGCUUGACACUGAACAUUGAGCCUUGAUGUGUAGGAUAGGUGGGAGGCUUUGAAGCGUGGACGCCAGUCUGCGUGGAGCCAACCUUGAAAUACCACCCUUUAAUGUUUGAUGUUCUAACGUUGGCCCCUGACCGGGGUUGCGGACAGUGUCUGGUGGGUAGUUUGACUGGGGCGGUCUCCUCCCAAAGCGUAACGGAGGAGCACGAAGGUUAGCUAAUCCUGGUCGGACAUCAGGAGGUUAGUGCAAUGGCAUAAGCUAGCUUGACUGCGAGCGUGACGGCGCGAGCAGGUGCGAAAGCAGGUCAUAGUGAUCCGGUGGUUCUGAAUGGAAGGGCCAUCGCUCAACGGAUAAAAGGUACUCCGGGGAUAACAGGCUGAUACCGCCCAAGAGUUCAUAUCGACGGCGGUGUUUGGCACCUCGAUGUCGGCUCAUCACAUCCUGGGGCUGAAGUAGGUCCCAAGGGUAUGGCUGUUCGCCAUUUAAAGUGGUACGCGAGCUGGGUUUAGAACGUCGUGAGACAGUUCGGUCCCUAUCUGCCGUGGGCGCUGGAGAAUUGAGGGGGGCUGCUCCUAGUACGAGAGGACCGGAGUGGACGCAUCACUGGUGUUCGGGUUGUCAUGCCAAUGGCACUGCCCGGUAGCUAAAUGCGGAAGAGAUAAGUGCUGAAAGCAUCUAAGCACGAAACUUGCCCCGAGAUGAGUUCUCCCUGAGACUUUAAGUCUCCUGAAGGAACGUUAAAGACGAUGACGUUGAUAGGCCGGGUGUGUAAGCGCAGCGAUGCGUUGAGCUAACCGGUACUAAUGAACCGUGAGGCUUAACCUUACAACGCCGAAG
rnacentral:rRNA from 1 species